AGAGUUUGAUCAUGGCUCAGAUUGAACGCUGGCGGCAGGCCUAACACAUGCAAGUCGAGCGGUAGCACAGAGAGCUUGCUCUCGGGUGACGAGCGGCGGACGGGUGAGUAAUGUCUGGGAAACUGCCUGAUGGAGGGGGAUAACUACUGGAAACGGUAGCUAAUACCGCAUAAUGUCGCAAGACCAAAGUGGGGGACCUUCGGGCCUCAUGCCAUCAGAUGUGCCCAGAUGGGAUUAGCUAGUAGGUGGGGUAACGGCUCACCUAGGCGACGAUCCCUAGCUGGUCUGAGAGGAUGACCAGCCACACUGGAACUGAGACACGGUCCAGACUCCUACGGGAGGCAGCAGUGGGGAAUAUUGCACAAUGGGCGCAAGCCUGAUGCAGCCAUGCCGCGUGUGUGAAGAAGGCCUUCGGGUUGUAAAGCACUUUCAGCGGGGAGGAAGGCGAUAAGGUUAAUAACCUCAUCGAUUGACGUUACCCGCAGAAGAAGCACCGGCUAACUCCGUGCCAGCAGCCGCGGUAAUACGGAGGGUGCAAGCGUUAAUCGGAAUUACUGGGCGUAAAGCGCACGCAGGCGGUCUGUCAAGUCGGAUGUGAAAUCCCCGGGCUCAACCUGGGAACUGCAUUCGAAACUGGCAGGCUAGAGUCUUGUAGAGGGGGGUAUAAUUCCAGGUGUAGCGGUGAAAUGCGUAGAGAUCUGGAGGAAUACCGGUGGCGAAGGCGGCCCCCUGGACAAAGACUGACGCUCAGGUGCGAAAGCGUGGGGAGCAAACAGGAUUAGAUACCCUGGUAGUCCACGCCGUAAACGAUGUCGAUUUGGAGGUUGUGCCCUUGAGGCGUGGCUUCCGGAGCUAACGCGUUAAAUCGACCGCCUGGGUAGUACGGCCGCAAGGUUAAAACUCAAAUGAAUUGACGGGGGCCCGCACAAGCGGUGGAGCAUGUGGUUUAAUUCGAUGCAACGCGAAGAACCUUACCUGGUCUUGACAUCCACAGAACUUUCCAGAGAUGGAUUGGUGCCUUCGGGAACUGUGAGACAGGUGCUGCAUGGCUGUCGUCAGCUCGUGUUGUGAAAUGUUGGGUUAAGUCCCGCAACGAGCGCAACCCUUAUCCUUUGUUGCCAGCGGUCCGGCCGGGAACUCAAAGGAGACUGCCAGUGAUAAACUGGAGGAAGGUGGGGAUGACGUCAAGUCAUCAUGGCCCUUACGACCAGGGCUACACACGUGCUACAAUGGCAUAUACAAAGAGAAGCGACCUCGCGAGAGCAAGCGGACCUCAUAAAGUAUGUCGUAGUCCGGAUUGGAGUCUGCAACUCGACUCCAUGAAGUCGGAAUCGCUAGUAAUCGUAGAUCAGAAUGCUACGGUGAAUACGUUCCCGGGCCUUGUACACACCGCCCGUCACACCAUGGGAGUGGGUUGCAAAAGAAGUAGGUAGCUUAACCUUCGGGAGGGCGCUUACCACUUUGUGAUUCAUGACUGGGGUGAAGUCGUAACAAGGUAACCGUAGGGGAACCUGCGGUUGGAUCACCU
rnacentral:rRNA from 1 species